rnacentral:rRNA from 1 species
UCCUGGCUCAGAUUGAACGCUGGCGGCAUGCCUUACACAUGCAAGUCGAACGGCAGCGGACCUUCGGGUGCCGGCGAGUGGCGAACGGGUGAGUAAUAUAUCGGAACGUACCUUUCAGUGGGGGAUAACGUAGCGAAAGUUACGCUAAUACCGCAUAUUCUGUGAGCAGGAAAGCAGGGGGAUCGCAAGACCUUGCGCUGAUUGAGCGGCCGAUAUCAGAUUAGCUAGUUGGUGAGGUAAAGGCUCACCAAGGCGACGAUCUGUAGCGGGUCUGAGAGGAUGAUCCGCCACACUGGAACUGAGACACGGUCCAGACUCCUACGGGAGGCAGCAGUGGGGAAUUUUGGACAAUGGGCGCAAGCCUGAUCCAGCCAUGCCGCGUGAGUGAAGAAGGCCUUCGGGUUGUAAAGCUCUUUCGGCCGGGAAGAAAUCGCACAGGUUAAUACCCUGUGUGGAUGACGGUACCGGAAUAAGAAGCACCGGCUAACUACGUG